rnacentral:tRNA from 1 species
GGGGCUAUAGUACAGUUGGCUAGUACGCAACACUGGCAGUGUUGAGGUCAGGGGUUCGAGUCCCCUUAGCUCCACCA